rnacentral:tRNA from 1 species
CGCGGAGUAGAGCAGUUUGGUAGCUCGCUGGGCCCAUAACCCAGAGGUCGCAGGUUCGAAUCCUGUCUCCGCAA